GAUAUCAUUACAAAGUAUAGCCACAUUUUGCGUUAUAAGGAGCAGUAAAUACGUUACUAGUACUAAAAUGCUAUUUUUGUACAUCACGUGAACAAAACUAUGAGAUAACGUUUGAUUACACGCUCAUGCGGAAGUUUUGAUUCUACUGGAAUUACUAGCAGAGCUGAUACACACUGAACCGGCUGCCAAUGUUUUUUAUUGCAACCUUCCGGCAGCUAAACUUGGUAGCAGCGCAGCAGAGCGGUUGGUUUUCAGCAGUUAUCGACCGAACGAGGAGCAAGAGGAUAAUUACGUAUUGUAUAGCUGUUUAGAUUCGUUUACUUUGCUUUUGGUUGCAUAUCCAUAAGUAGGCACUUCGCUAUGCCUAAUAAUUCAGAUGACAAACGUAAAAAACAAUAAUUUCUUUAUAUAGUUGUUGUUCUUAAUAUAGUUAUGGUUAUUAAUCAAUUAUUAUAAAUAAAUAAAACCUUUAAAUAAAUUUGUAUAAAUAUG